rnacentral:rRNA from 1 species
UACGAGGGGGGCGAGCGUUGUCCGGAAUCACUGGGCGUAAAGGGCGCGUAGGCGGCCUGGCAAGUCGGUGGUGAAAGCUCGGGGCUUAACUCCGAGUCGGCCAUCGAUACUGCUAUGGCUCGAGUCGACUAGAGGCAGAUGGAAUUCCGGGUGUAGCGGUGGAAUGCGUAGAGAUCCGGAAGAACACCGGUGGGCGAAGGCGGUCUCUGGGGGUCGAACU